GCAAGGCCACUUUCUCUGCCUAUACAUCAGAAUUGAAAUAUACCAGUCUCCAACACUUCAAACCUAACUCUUUAGGGGCACGAAGGUUUUCCACAAAGGCUCUCAUGUCCCAUUGUUUGUAAACAAACCCACGUGAAUGCCGCCUACCAGACAGUGAGUUCAUCAGCCUCAUUGGCCACAUGAUUCAUAUCACAGAAAGAAACCGGCCGACAAUAUUUAGUUCGCAAUUCUGGAUAAAGAUUUAACACAUACUCAAUUGAUUUGACACAAGCCGUUUCCCCUAUCCCUUCCUGCUACCCCCUUCAUACACUAUACAAGUAUGCACGACACAAACAUAUAUGACGCAAGCAAUGCAAAACAAACAUCAACGCUACAGUGUGUCGAUAUAAUACAAUUCACCGACUCGAAACAAUCCCAACCUCCUCAUUACAGCCACAUUCCACAUACCACGUGCGAGUACGUGACCGUUCUCUGUAUUUAGAUUUUCUUGUGCAUCGUCAUAGACAUACCGAAUACACCGAAACGGCCCAGGCUCACGCACCGACUUCUCAUACAAAGUCCAAGUACGUCGCGGGUUUCUCGCACAAAAAUCGCAGGUCAACACUGUGCGGAGAUGCGUCCACUUGAAUGAUGCCCAGCCGCAUAAGGUUUUCCCUCUUAGUGCAUUCCUUCGAGAGGGUCAGGUUCACUGCUCUACUGCCGUGAAAUCUUUAUUGCAAAGAAGAGCGUGUGUGCGCCGUUAGAAAGUCCAGGUGUGUAUGGCUGAAGGCCGUUUGUGUGCUUACCGAGGUACUGCCAUGCUGUGUAAAACUAUAAACAAGCGCGUCUAAAGAUGAUUAUCACAAUCAAAUCUCACCACAUGUGCACAAUGUUACGUUGCAGCCGGAAGUGAAUGGUGUUGGCGGAUCAAUUUUCGAUUCUAAUCAUCUUAACAUUUUGCCGACCGUAGGCUACCGGCCGACUUUUUUCACUGAUGCUUAUGCACCGAUACCCUAUUAAUCCGUUGCCGUAGCGAUAAACAAAACUCAACGUCCGCGACGAACAAAUAAAAUAGGAUUUAGACUAUCAGAUUGCCCUGACAAUGAUUCAAGAAGUGAUAGUGGUGAUGGCGCCGAUAUAAUCAUUCGUAAGUUCUGUAUUGGCAGAAAGAUGUAGCGAUUUUGAUGGUAAAACAAGUAACAUCGAUAUUAUUCAGAAAACGGACAACUCCGAGCAUUCGAAACGCAGAGAUGCUCCCGUGCGAAAGCCUGAACCGAAACAGAGCUGACGCCAAGAAGAAUCUGUUGCUGACCGGCCGAUCAGUAAAGUGUUAGGAACCGUCACCUACACCUGAUUUCUUUCAAAGUUUGAAAAUUAUCAAUAUUAUCUCAUUGGGAGAUAGCAAACACUCGACUAGUAUCAUUACAUUUAUUGCAGAAAUGGACACUGUGCCCAUCGAGUAUCCAUCAGGAGGCGGUGCUUCGCACCCCAAACGACUGAUAUUUUCACACCCUAAAUUCAAUAUUGUACAGAAAUACAACUCCGAUAAAUCGUAACGUAAACAAGAGAUUAUGUAGGCAACCUUCCAUACUUCUAGUUUUUCCAGUCGUAAGACAGAAGCUGUGUAAUGUAACUAACAAAUAGUUUGCCUAAUUGUUGUAAAGUAUUAUAUAUCCCGACAACAAGUUACAGACGCCAGUAUGCAUAAGUUAUACCGUGCGACGUGACCUUAUUCUCUGCAUCCUGAAUGAAAUGGACAACAUAGACAUUAAACACUUAUAAUAAACACAAAUUAAAACAACGAUAGCACUGCGAACGGCCGACAUUUUAUCCAGGUUUAUACACACCACUGGAGCCAUUAGUGAUAGGAUAGACCAAGAUUUUGCUACUUGAGGGCAAAACUAUCCCGUUUGUACGUAGGCCAUAAUGUAUACGCAUUUAGCAUAUCAGACUACUCACUUUAGUGUGAUAUCGAUAUCUAGGAUAGACAACUUUGGGCUACUAUAACUUGGUCAAUAAUAUAGUAAUGUGGUCUAUAUUACUGCAAAUUUUUAUAACCAAUUCCACAAAAACAUUGUUAACUUAAUUUGAGUAGAUUCGAUAUCGAUAUUGAGAGUAUUUUAAGGC